rnacentral:tRNA from 1 species
GGCCGGUUAGCUCAGUCGGUUGAGCAUGGUGCUGAUAACAGCAAGGUCGCGGGUUCGAUUCCUGUUCCGUCCC